CGAACUUAAAAUUUUCAUCAUAAAUCAAUUUAUUUGGAAAUGAUAAACUCAACUCAAUCAAUGCAAAUAGUAUUACAAGAAACCCUAAUAUAUCCUUAUAUCUAUGAUAAUGAUGAAAAGGAAUCUUAUCUAAAUCUCUGUUUAAUCCUAAGGGAUUACUUGUACCUCCUUCAUGUA